rnacentral:rRNA from 1 species
GACGAACGCUGGCGGCGUGCUUAACACAUGCAAGUCGAACGGAAAGGCCCUGCUUUUGUGGGGUGCUCGAGUGGCGAACGGGUGAGUAACACGUGAGUAACCUUCCCUUUACUUUGUGAUAACUUCAGGAAACUGGGGCUAAUACCUGCUAGGUGCUCCUGCUGCAUGGUGGGGGUUGGAAAGUUUCGGCGGUUGGGGAUGGACUCGCGGCUUAUCAGCUUGUUGGUGGGGUAGUGGCUUACCAAGGCUUUGACGGGUAGCCGGCCUGAGAGGGUGACCGGCCACAUUGGGACUGAGAUACGGCCCAGACUCCUACGGGAGGCAGCAGUGGGGAAUAUUGCACAAUGGGCGGAAGCCUGAUGCAGCAACGCCGCGUGUGGGAUGAAGGCCUUCGGGUUGUAAACCGCUUUCGCCUGUGACGAAGCGUGAGUGACGGUAAUGGGUAAAGAAGCACCGGCUAACUACGUG